UACGAAGGGGGCGAGCGUUGUUCGGAAUUACUGGGCGUAAAGCGUGCGCAGGCGGUUCGUUGUGUCGGCGGUGAAAGCCCCGGGCUCAACCUGGGAAUGGCCGUUGAAACUGGCGAACUGGAGUGUGGCAGAGGGGGGUGGAAUUCCGCGUGUAGCAGUGAAAUGCGUAGAGAUGCGGAGGAACACCGAUGGCGAAGGCAGCCCCCUGGGCUAACACUGACGCUCAGGCACGAAAGCGUGGGGAGCAAACAGG
rnacentral:rRNA from 1 species